CAGUCCAGGGAGAUGAAGAUGGGUUUACAGGGAGUUUUACUGGGUCUAAUUCUUCUUCUCAUUCAUGAAUCCUGUGGAGAGAUUGUUCUGACCCAAUCUCCAAAAUAUAUCUCUGUGUCCCCAGGAGAUACAGUCACCAUCUCAUGUACAGCCAGUAGUUCUAUAGGUUAUUCUUACUGGUACCAACAGAAACCAGGACAACGUCCAACACCUCUUAUCUAUGAUACAUCUAAGAGACAUACAGGAGUCCCAGACCGGUUCUCUGGAUCCGGAUCAUCUCCUGACUUCACUCUUACAAUCAGAGGAGUGACAGGAGAUGAUAUAGCAGGUUAUUACUGUCAGCAGUAUCAGAGCUAUCCUGUCACACAGUGA